rnacentral:lncRNA from 1 species
AAAUAGCCAUUAGGCAUGUGUGGGGCCUGAUGAUAUGGCUAAUACGGAGAAAAUUAAAAGUAUUACCCAGAGAAAAUAAAACACCAUGAGAAGAUGCCAAUGGGACGCAGAACCAGCAGUACUUUCUGUAAGGGUCCAAAUUCUCAAUUUUCCAUCCAGGCUUUUGAAAUAAGGGUGGCUGCUUCUGUGCCACUGUGGCUUUGGGGGCAAUGUGCUAAACUUGCUCGUCUGAGCAACACAGAUGAAUAGAAUGUGAUGCUGCGCCACUCAAACAUAAAAGGCACACCUUCUCCAGUGAAUAUAAGACCCAGAAACUGCCAGAAAUUUGUAUGGAAAAGAUGAAGGACAUUGUGAUAUCCUCACUGAUGACCUGAAGAGGAGACCUGUGCUUUUACAGCUGCAGAUCAAACCCUAAGAUGAGUGACUGCCUGAAAGACCAGGAGCACAUCUAUGUCUCUUGCACAAGAGGACGUCCCCAGCCACAGAUCUGGGCCUGCAACGGGAAGGAAACGCCUGGUGGGACAGAGGGAUACCCUGCAUUGGCGGCUGCUGGUGCUCGGCGUGUGCUGUGGGCUUACCCACGGCAUCCCUGCAAAGGGACUGAAAGUGGAAUCAGCACAGCAAACAGAGAAACCCCAAGAGCCACAGUGUUUACCUGCAGCGCUCACUGUGCAAGCUGUGACGCCACAGUAAGGUCAGGAAACUGGACGUCCAUUUGGCUGCCUGCCCACUCACCCAGUACUUGUGCCUGCACUGGCAGAGGGCAGCAAAACCUGAGCACAUCUGUUUCGUUUGAGGACAAAACCACCAGAAAACCAGACGGUUUUAUGAAGAUCUUAGUUGGGUGCCUUCCAAAUACUACAUAA